GUCGAACGAGAGACCUUCGGGUCUCUAGUGGCGAACGGGUGAGUAACACGUAGGGAACCUGCCCGCGCACCGGGAAUACGCUCUGGAAACGGAGAACAAAUCCCGAUGUACAGGAAGGAGGCAUCUUCUUUCUGUGAAACAUCCUUUAGGGGAUGGGGCGCGGAUGGACCUGCGGUGCAUUAGUUUGUUGGCGGGGUAAAGGCCCACCAAGACGAUGAUGCAUAGCCGGCCUGAGAGGGCGGACGGCCACAUUGGGACUGAGACACGGCCCAGACUCCUGCGGGAGGCAGCAGUAGGGAAUUUUCGUCAAUGGGCGCAAGCCUGAACGAGCGAUGCCGCGUGAGUGAAGAAGGCCUUCGGGUCGUAAAGCUCUGUUGCGGGGGAAAAAAGGCAGCAUCAGGAAAUGGGUGCUGACUGAUGGUGCCCCGCCAGAAAGUCACGGCUAACUACGUGCCAGCAGCCGCGGUAAUACGUAGGUGGCGAGCGUUAUCCGGAAUGAUUGGGCGUAAAGGGUGCGCAGGCGGUCCUGCAAGUCUGGAGUGAAACGCAUGAGCUCAACUCAUGCACGGCUUUGGAAACUGGAGGACUGGAGAGCAGGAGAGGGCGGUGGAACUCCAUGUGUAGCGGUAAAAUGCGUAGAUAUAUGGAAGAACACCAGUGGCGAAGGCGGCCGCCUGGCCUGUUGCUGACGCUGAGGCACGAAAGCGUGGGGAGCAAAUAGGAUUAGAUACCCUAGUAGUCCACGCCGUAAACGAUGAGGACCAAGUGUUGGGGGUGAAACCUCAGUGCUGA
rnacentral:rRNA from 1 species